ensembl:lncRNA
AAAGUUGUUACAGUGAAGAAGAAAAGGUAUAAUUUUAUGAGUUUGUAUCUGAAAGUUAAGAGAGUUGCAAAAUAAAAGCUUUCCUCUGUGAAACGUUCAGCUCAGACUUGGACUCGGGGUCAAAAGGAUACAGUAAUUAUUACAAUGACAUUGUUACAGUUAUUAUUACACCCAAUAAACAAAGUGAUGAACUUUUAAAAUAGUGUCAUAUGGUCCCUUUAAUUGAAGUAUGCUAACAGAACUGUGUAGCACUGACAUUUCUGCUCUCCAUUUUAGUCAAAACAAAAAAUGUAUUAUUAUUUAGAUCAGUCAAAUAUUUGUUAAAAUAUAUUUAGUCUCAUAUAUUAAUUACUUUAAAGAAAUUGUUAAACAUAUGUGAGCCUGUAAACAAGAAUGGCUGCUAUCUUUAAAACUCUGCAAACAUUUCUGUGAAGGACUAGAGAGAAUGUGUGUCAAUAUAAAACACAGAAUUUAGGGGGGCUGGGCAGAAGUUUAGGGGAAGGGCUGAAGCCCCCCUAAAAAGGGCCUAGUGAUGCCCCUGCAUGGCAGUAUAUUUGUAGCAUAUUUAAUUUUAUGUUUACUGCUUAAUAACUCAAAGAUUCAGCACUAGUUAUUUUCUUCAUCAUUUCUUCCUCUGAACUAUCAUGAUCUUGAUCUCAUUGUCAUGUCCAGGUCGUGAUGAGCAUCUGAUCGUCUUCAGAGACACAAAGAUCUCAGUGUUGAGCUGUUCAUCUGCAGUAUGUCAGAGAAGAGAGGAAAGAUGAGUCUCUCACAGAAACAGAGUGUAAGAUCAGGCUCACAUAUGUCUGUGAAGAGUGACCGGUCAAAGGAUGAUCCACUAAACUUCAGUGAAGAAACAGCAUCACGAACCAAACAGUAUUUGAUGUGUUUCUUAUUUUUGUUUACACAUAGACUGUUGUCAGAAAGUGUAUCAGAGAAUAAUUAUCAUAAAACUUAUAGUCCAUAAAUGUAUCCCAGUAUUGUUUUUCUCUUUGCUAAAAUGUUCACAAGAUAUUUUGGUCAUAUAUUUCCCCCCCCCUAAAAAAUGCAGUAUUUUGAUUUAUUUUAUUUACUAUCAGGCUUCAGUAUGAAACAUUAGAUCCAGAUUUACAGUCUCACAGGAACCACAAGAAUUUUACAGACAGUCUCCUGCAGAUCUUCCAGGUAAUAAAACACAUUUUCAAGAAUAUUUAAUUUAAUAA